GCCAGUGAGGUGUAAUGGUUUGAGCAUUGGACUAUGACUCUGGAGGCCAGGGUUCGAAUCCCUGCUCAGCCA